rnacentral:rRNA from 1 species
GGAAUAUUGGACAAUGGGCGAAAGCCUGAUCCAGCAAUGCCGCGUGUGUGAAGAAGGCCUGCGGGUUGUGAAGCACUUUUAUCGGGAAAGAAAAUCACAGGACUAAUACUUCUGCGCCUUGCCGGUACCCGCAGAAUAAGCAUCGGCCAACUCCGUGCCCGCAGCCGCGGUAAUACGGAGGGUGCAAGCGUUAAUCGGAAUUACUGGGCGUAAAGCGAGUGUAGGUGGCUAUGUAAGUCGGAUGUGAAAUCCCCGGGCUCAACCUGGGAACUGCAUUCGAUACUGCAUGGCUAGAGUCUGAUAGAGGGAAGUGGAAUUCCAGGUGUAGCGGUGAAAUGCGUAGAUAUCUGGAAGAACACCAGUGGCGAAGGCGGCUUCCUGGAUCAAGACUGACACUGAGGCUCGAAAGCGUGGGGAGCAAA